CUGGUAGCGUGGAUUAGGCAUGCAAGUCAACGGGAUCCAUGAAGUAGCAAUACUUUAUGGUGAGAGUGGCGGAUGGGGAAGAACACGUGAGCAACCUGCCUUGAGUUGGGGAAACCAUUGGAAACGAUGGCUAAUACCGGAUGUGGCGCCUGGGGACAUCCCCGGAGCGCUAAAGGGGGCGACCCGCAAGGGGCUCCCGCUCAUUGAAGGGCUCGCGCACCAUCAGCUUGUUGGCGGGGUAACGGCCCACCAAGGCUUACGGUUAGCUGGUCUGAGAGGAUGACCAGCCCCACUGGGACUGAGAUACUGCCCAGACUCCUACGGGAGGCUGCAGUCGAGGAUCAUUUGCAAUGGGCGAAAGCCUGACAAUGCGACGCUGCGUGGAGGAAUGAAGGCCUUCGGGUUGUAAACUCCUGUCAUAAGGGAACAGGCGAUCCUACCUAAUACGUAGGAAAGUUGAGUGUACUUUAAGAGGAAGGGACGGCUAACUCUGUGCCAGCAGCAGC
rnacentral:rRNA from 1 species